rnacentral:lncRNA from 1 species
GCUGAAGAAAAGAAUAAGAUUUUAAUGGACAAAGAAGAAUUUUUGAAGGAAAAGAAAGUUUUGGUUGAAGAAAAUGAAAACUUUUUGAAAUCUAAAAAAUUCUUGAUAGAAGAAAAUGCUAAACUAAAAAAAGAAUCUGAAAAAUUAAAAGUUUUAGUGGAAGAAAAAGAGAAUUAUUUGAAAGAAAUGAAUGUAGAAAAGAG